rnacentral:rRNA from 1 species
GCUCAGGAUGAACGCUGGCGGCGUGCUUAACACAUGCAAGUCGAACGAUGAAGCCCAGCUUGCUGGGUGGAUUAGUGGCGAACGGGUGAGUAACACGUGAGUAACCUGCCCUUGACUCUGGGAUAAGCCCGGGAAACUGGGUCUAAUACCGGAUAGGAGCGCCUGUCGCAUGACGGGUGUUGGAAAGAUUUUUCGGUCAUGGAUGGACUCGCGGCCUAUCAGCUUGUUGGUGAGGUAAUGGCUCACCAAGGCGACGACGGGUAGCCGGCCUGAGAGGGUGACCGGCCACACUGGGACUGAGACACGGCCCAGACUCCUACGGGAGGCAGCAGUGGGGAAUAUUGCACAAUGGGCGGAAGCCUGAUGCAGCGACGCCGCGUGAGGGAUGACGGCCUUCGGGUUGUAAACCUCUUUCAGCAGGGAAGAAGCGAAAGUGACGGUACCUGC